UACGUAGGGUCCGAGCGUUGUCCGGAAUUAUUGGCGUAAAGGGCUCGUAGGCGGUCCGUCGCGUCGGGAGUGAAAACUCGGAGCUUAACUCCGAGCCUGCUUCCGAUACGGGCAGACUAGAGGUAGGCAGGGGAGAGCGGAACUCCUGGUGUAGCGGUGGAAUGCGCAGAUAUCAGGAAGAACACCGGUGGCGAAGGCGGCAUCCUGGACCGACACUGACGCUGAGGAGCGAAAGCCAGGGGAGCAAACGGG
rnacentral:rRNA from 1 species